rnacentral:rRNA from 1 species
UACGGAGGAUCCAAGCGUUAUCCGGAUUCAUUGGGUUUAAAGGGUGCGUAGGCGGAAUGAUAAGUCAGUGGUGAAAUCCCUUCGCUUAACGAAGGAACUGCCAUUGAUACUGUCAAUCUUGAGUACAUUUGAUGUGGGCGGAAUGUGUCAUGUAGCGGUGAAAUGCUUAGAUAUGACACAGAACACCGAUUGCAAAGGCAGCUCACAAAACUGUAACUGACGCUGAGGCACGAAAGCGUGGGUAUCAAACAGG